rnacentral:rRNA from 1 species
CAGCAGCCGCGGGAAUACGGAGGGAGCUAGCGUUGUUCGAAAUUACUGGGCGUAAAGCGCACGUAGGCGGCUUUGUAAGUUAGAGGUGAAAGCCUGGAGCUCAACUCCAGAAUUGCCUUUAAGACUGCAUCGCUUGAAUCCAGGAGAGGUGAGUGGAAUUCCGAGUGUAGAGGUGAAAUUCGUAGAUAUUCGGAAGAACACCAGUGGCGAAGGCGGCUCACUGGACUGGUAUUGACGCUGAGGUGCGAAAGCGUGGGGAGCAAACAGGAUUAGAUACCCCUGUAGUCCCUGUCUCUUAUAC